rnacentral:rRNA from 1 species
AUGGCGGCUUAUCCGACCAUACGAGACGAUCCCUUGGCGGAGAAGAAGAGGAAGGUGGGUGUGUGGAGCGAAGAGGAAGAUGACUACUUGGCGGCCAGACGCGACGAAGAAUCAGCUCCCCGCCCUGUGAAAAUCCCCACGCUCGAUCGCUUCAAGCCCCCGACCCGGUUUCACAUUGCCGAGCUCUUCUCCGUCCGUGAAUCCGGAAGCCAGGCCGUGCUCUCCGCUGCCAAAUUCCUUCUAGGGGUUUCAUCCUCCCUUGUUGGUGAACCGCUGAGACGCUGCUCCGGCUUCUGGGUCGGUUGGGAUGCGGAGAAGAAAACCGGCCUUGUUUUGACAACUGCGCGGCUGAUUCGCACAAAGGACGCUCCUUACAGCGUCUGGACAGGCGGCCAAGAGUAUGCCCCUAAUGCUGAUGUCACUGUUCAUUUGCUAAAUGGCACUAGUGCAAAGGGCGAGCUUGUCUACUAUCAGCCCCAUUACGAUAUCGCUUUCUUGAAUGUUGAGGUGGAUCAACCAAUCAAGUUACCAUCUCUUCGUGAAAAAGAUGUAGAAUUUGCUCAAGAGGUUUUUCAGCUAGGAAGAGACAAUUCCUUAAAUCUAAGGAUAGCAUAUGCUAGGGCAGAAUAUCUGAAUCCAAACUUGUUUGAGCGGCACCACAACGUGUACUUUUGUUCUCCAGAUGGCCAUGACGAUGAUAAUAAUGAGUAUGACAAUGGGGGGCUAGUUAUUGACUUGAAUGGAAAAGUUGUUGGAAUGGUCAACGACCCUGAGAGAUUUGGGUCUUUUAUACCUUCUUCCAUUUUGCUCAAUUGUUUGGAUUCAUGGAAGAGAAGGGGAGCCUUGGCGCAGUGGUAA